AUGCACACACUGAUCAGGCUUUCCCAUGUUCUGCAACACAAGAUACACAAGCAAGUGGUUCAGAUGCUCUGUGAGCCCAUGGGGCUGCACGGGCAGCACCCUCGCCACGCCCCACACUGCUGCGUGGGCAGCACCCUCUCACCACGCCCCACACUGCUGCGUGGGCAGCACCCUCUCACCAGGCCCCACACUGCUGCGUGGGCAGCACCCUCUCACCAGGCCCCACACUGCUGCGUGGGCAGCACCCUCUCACCAGGUCCCACACUGCUGCACGGGCAGCACCCUCUCACCAGGUCCCACACUGCUGUGUGGGCAGCACCCUCUCACCAGGUCCCACACUGCUGCACGGGCAGCACCCUCGCCACGCCCCAUACUGCUGCACGGGCAGCACCCUCGCCACGCCCCACACUGCUGCACGGGCAGCACCCUCGCCACGCCCCACACUGCUGCGUGGGCAGCACCCUCUCACCAGGCCCCACACUGCUGCGUGGGCAGCACCCUCUCACCAGGCCCCACACUGCUGCGUGGGCAGCACCCUCUCACCAGGCCCCACACUGCUGCGUGGGCAGCACCCUCUCACCAGGCCCCACACUGCUGCGUGGGCAGCACCCUCGCCAGGUCCCACACUGCUGCGUGGGCAGCACCCUCUCACCAGGCCCCACACUGCUGCACGGGCAGCACCCUCACCACGCCCCACACUGCUGCGUGGGCAGCACCCUCUCACCAGGCCCCACACUGCUACGUGGGCAGCACCCUCGCCACGCCCCACACUGCUGCGUGGGCAGCACCCUCUCACCAGGCCCCACACUGCUGCAUGGGCAGCACCCUCUCACCAGGCCCCACACUGCUGCGUGGGCAGCACCCUCUCACCAGGCCCCAUACUACUGCGUGGGCAGCACCCUCACCAUGCCCCACACUGCUGCAUGGGCAGCACCCUCUCACCAGGCCCCACACUGCUGCACGGGCAGCACCCCUGGCCUGGCACCUACUGGCCUCACGGGGACUUCCCUAGGAUCACUCACCUGA
rnacentral:lncRNA from 1 species